rnacentral:rRNA from 1 species
GACGAACGCUGGCGGCGUGCUUAACACAUGCAAGUCGAACGGAAAGGCCCGGCUUUUGUGGGGUGCUCGAGUGGCGAACGGGUGAGUAACACGUGAGUAACCUGCCCUUGACUUUGGGAUAACUUCAGGAAACAGGGGCUAAUACCGGAUAGGAUCUCCUGCUGCAUGGUGGGGGUUGGAAAGUUUCGGCGGUUGGGGAUGGACUCGCGGCUUAUCAGCUUGAUGGUGGGGUAGUGGCUUACCAAGGCUUUGACGGGUAGCCGGCCUGAGAGGGUGACCGGCCACAUUGGGCCUGAGAUACGGCCCAGACUCCUACGGGAGGCAGCAGUGGGGAAUAUUGCACAAUGGGCGGAAGCCUGAUGCAGCAACGCCGCGUGCGGGAUGACGGCCUUCGGGUUGUAAACCGAUUUCGCCUGUGACGAAGCGUGAGUGACGGUAAUGGGUAAAGAAGCACCGGCUAACUACGUG